UGCUAACCUUCCUGAUAAUCACCAUGUGUCAGGUACCAUGUAAAAUGCUUGUGUACUUCUUCAAUCCUGUUUUCUUCAGAGAAAGCACAGGAAAAAGCAGAAUUUUUGCCUGUUGAAGAGAACUGACCAUUUAUGUGAUGUGAGACCUAAGUAGGAAUGGCAGCUAUGUCUUCUCUGGAAAUUAACCUACAGCAGGAGAUAUAGAACCCCCAAUACUGUGUAAUAAUGCCUAAUAAUUCCCCUAGCUCAAGCUGCUGAGAAAUCAGGCAGAAGCCCAGGGAAGCUCACCAGAGAGCUAAGAUGCACUGUGCAUUAACAGACGUUUAUUUCCUUUGGCAAAGGAUAUACAGGAAACUCAGAUCCAUCCACAUGUGUUCAGGGCAAUACUGGCAUCUCGAGGACCUCUGCUAUCGACCCAUCAAAACCAAGAUGGUUCAGGAAAUGUGGAUAAGGAGACCAAUGAUAACAUUCACUGCACCACAGGAGAAGGCUUUUGGUGCAGUUUAUAAAUCAUAUUGUGCUGUUUGGGGAGCCCUAAAGCAAACAUAGUGAAUUUCACCAAUGAAAGUCCCAGUAGAAGAGCAAGAGAGAUUUACAGCCCAAGCUGAGUAAGAUACAUCUGCAGCAGAAAAGUGCAUGAAGAGAUGCAUAGGAAUCUGGGGAUAAAUCAAGAAUUCCAUGCUCUGGGGUGCAUUCACAAAGAAAUUAAAGACUACCUGCUGAGAAAAUCGUCUCUGGUGUUUUUCCUGUAUUUCCUCGCUCCUAAAAAUACAUUGAGAAUUGGGACGGUGGAAAAAAGAGACUGAAGAAUAGCAGCAAGAGAUGAAGAGUUGUGUAAGUUUUCUCCACUGGGAUUAAUUAAUUAGUCUUCCUUGGACUAGGAAGAAUGGCAUGAAGCAGAUUCAUUGGAUCUGAGAAUUGGACAGAGCCUGAUGUUUUUAAAUAGAAGCAGCAAUUUACACAGGAGAAUACUCAGGAGAAACGUGAAUUCCUUUUGUAACAGAUAAAUGCUGUUUGUGAUGUUGCUAGUAACAGACCUAAAGAAGAUGAUUUUGGAAAUUAAACAUUAUUGCAAUAACUGGUGGCUACUCUUGAAUGAUUCCUGGAACACUAUUAUGGUGAGGUGAGUUUGCCAGCAACCUUGGUGCAAAACCCAGUAACACCACUACAUGAAAAGGACAUUUUCAAUAGUAUCAGGAUGAAUCUAGGGAACAAGAGAUAAAUUUCUGUUUAAUUAACUGUAAGUAAGAAUAGUAAUCACCAUCUUAAACAGAGGAAAAACAGAAGACAAAUACUAUGUUAAAAGGGGUAGCAAAAGCUAAAAUAUCUAUAUUAUAUACAGAGAUCUCAGACCUCACUCGUAGUUACUGUUUUAAGUUCUUUCAGAAUAACGGUAUGGAUCAUUAUUCUCUCCUAGAGCCCAAGUAUAGGGAGCUGUGUUGACACACCUCUAUUUUUUACACAGUAAUUGCCAAGUAUUAAUCCAUCAGUGAUGAAGCUAAUGCAAGAAUUUUCCAUUUUCCCAUUC
rnacentral:lncRNA from 1 species